CCGCGGGAUGGGGCCCGGGCCGCGGAGGAGGCGCCGCUGCUGUGUUCUUUGGUGGCGAGGGCGCUGCCCGGCCCUGCGCGGUUUCCAGCCAGGAAGCUUCGAGAAUCCUGGACGUGUGCUCACUGGAAACGGCAUGUGCUUGGGGUGUUGGUAUUCUUUGUUAUUUAACACAGGAAGGAGGUGACUUCGCCUGUGAUGGACUUCCAGUGUGAGCACUGGCCAGGGUGACCAGGCUGACCUGCACCAGCCCUGAUCAAGAUGCAGAGGCCGGGAUGUGGGCCCAGCCCUGUGCAGGAGGCUGGCUGGAAUAAAGGUACAGAUACAGGCCUUGCCCCCUCUGGGACCACUGGCACUCGGGGUGUUUGCAGCCUCAGAGCCCAGCUUUCCACAUGCCCACCUGCUCCCAGGGCCACAGCUGCAUCUCCUGCUCUGCUUUCAUUACAGGGAUGAGCAGGCUGGCAUUGGGGCACUCGCUGCCCCUGCCUGGGUAGUGCUGUGUAUUCCAGCCAGGGGCCACUGCCAGGACCACCCCUCCAUUUUCAUAUCGCGAUUCUUAAGUUCUGCCAUUGUGGUAUUCUGGUGGAAAAAAAAAAAAAACGGUUGCUUGGCUGUUUUUGAACUGCCUGGAACCUAAGAUCCUGAAUUUUCCCCUCUAAGGGGGAAAAUAUAUAUGGAAAACGUUUAUUUUGAAAUACAGAAUGAAGUGAAUUAAAAGCUUUAAUGCACACUUCUUCAAGGAUAGUAUUUCUGUGUUGGCAAAAUUUGAGAAUAAAUUGGCCUUGAACGGAA